rnacentral:rRNA from 1 species
UACGUAGGGUGCGAGCGUUGUCCGGAAUUAUUGGGCGUAAAGAGCUCGUAGGCGGUCUGUCGCGUCGGUCGUGAAAACUUGGGGCUUAACCCUGAGCUUGCGGUCGAUACGGGCAUGACUGGAGUUCGGCAGGGGAGACUGGAAUUCCUGGUGUAGCGGUGAAAUGCGCAGAUAUCAGGAGGAACACCGGUGGCGAAGGCGGGUCUCUGGGCCGAUACUGACGCUGAGGAGCGAAAGCGUAGGGAGCAAACAGG